AUACGAAGGGUGCAAGCGUUAAUCGGAAUUACUGGGCGUAAAGCGCGCGUAGGUGGUUUUGUAAGUUGGAGGUGAAAGCCCCGGGCUCAACCUGGGAAUUGCCUCCAAAACUGCAUGACUAGAGUACGGUAGAGGGUAGUGGAAUUUCCUGUGUAGCGGUGAAAUGCGUAGAUAUAGAAAGGAACACCAGUGGCGAAGGCGACUCCCUGGACUGAUACUGACACUGAGGGGCGAAAGCGUGGGGAGCAAACAGGAUUAGAUACCCUGGUAGUCCACGCCGUAAACGAUGUCAACUAGCCGUUGGGAUCCUUGAGAUCUUAGUGGCGCAGCUAACGCAUUAAGUUGACCGCCUGGGGAGUACGGCCGCAAGGUUAAAACUCAAAUGAAUUGGCGGGG
rnacentral:rRNA from 1 species